CACAAUCCAUGGAGUCGGCGAUGAUCCCACUGGAUCACCCCGUGAUCGCCGCCUACCACCAGCUGAUGGAGAUCCCCGGCGAGACCGCCAACUCCCUCAGCGCUCCGUCCCACAGCUAUGCCCUCGACGCCCCGACUUUCACGUACGCCCUCGACGCCCCAACCCGCAGCUAUGUCCUCGACGCCCCGACUCUCACGUACGCCCUCGACGCACCGACCCGCAGCUAUGUCCUCGACGCCCCGACUCUCACGUACGCCCUCGACGCACCG
rnacentral:misc_RNA from 1 species